rnacentral:lncRNA from 1 species
UUUUGGAGGAUGCAUGGCAGUUAGCGGAUAUCAAGAACACCUUGCUAUUCAAAGAAAUGUUUAUGCAGAUACAGAAGCAUCAGAAAAUAUGAUUUCUAGCAAUGAACGGAAAUUCGUGGAAGAAUAUUGCAUGAAGAUUUUUCGAGAUAAUGUCAAUCGAAUCAUCACUUGGACCCCAACUAAAAAGAAGAAGUAUGGGAACUUCCGAUUUCAAUAACUCCAGACGAAGUGUGGGAACUUCCUAUAGGAAUAACCCCGAAAGAGUUGAUAGGUCAAAUCAUGUCUAAAUGGGCCAGGCAGCCUUUUGGUAUGUGGGAGGAGAGGAUGUUCGAACAAGACAUGCGAUAUAUGGACUGGCUUUCGGAACUACCUCCAGACAUGUACAGAAUGCCCGAUAAUAUAGACAUUGAAAUACAGAGAAUAAGCGAGUUGCGGAUGUAUCAACCGAGUUCUGGGGAUUAUCUAGGACGUGAAUUUUACGAGAGAGACAUGCGAUAUCUUCAAUGGCUGAAAAAGAAAACAGAGAAAUCGAAAA